CCUACGGGUGGCUGCAGUGGGGAAUCUUGCGCAAUGCGCGAAAGCGUGACGCAGCAACGCCGCGUGAGGGAAGACGGCCUUCGGGUUGUAAACCUCUUUCAGUUGGGACGAAGCCUCGACGGUUAACAGCCGUACGGGGUGACGGUACCUUCACAAGAAGCCCCGGCUAACUACGUGCCAGCAGCCGCGGUAAUACGUAGGGGGCAAGCGUUGUCCGGAAUCAUUGGGCGUAAAGAGCGCGUAGGCGGUCCGGUAAGUCUGCCGUGAAAGCCAGG
rnacentral:rRNA from 1 species